GGGUUGUGAGGUUAAGCGACUAAGCGUACACGGUGGAUGCCCUGGCAGUCAGAGGCGAUGAAGGGCGUACUAAUCUGCGAUAAGCGCCGGUAAGGUGAUAUGAACCGUUAUAACCGGCGAUACCCGAAUGGGGAAACCCAGUGUGAUUCGUCACACUAUCAUUAACUGAAUCCAUAGGUUAAUGAGGCGAACCGGGGGAACUGAAACAUCUAAGUACCCCGAGGAAAAGAAAUCAACCGAGAUUCCCCCAGUAGCGGCGAGCGAACGGGGAGGAGCCCAGAGCCUGAAUCAGCAUGUGUGUUAGUGGAAGCGUCUGGAAAGGCGCGCGAUACAGGGUGACAGCCCCGUACACAAAAGCGCAUGUGCUGUGAGCUCGAUGAGUAGGGCGGGACACGUGGUAUCCUGUCUGAAUAUGGGGGGACCAUCCUCCAAGGCUAAAUACUCCUGACUGACCGAUAGUGAACCAGUACCGUGAGGGAAAGGCGAAAAGAACCCCGGCGAGGGGAGUGAAAAAGAACCUGAAACCGUGUACGUACAAGCAGUGGGAGCACNNNNNNNNNNNUGUGACUGCGUACCUUUUGUAUAAUGGGUCAGCGACUUAUAUUCUGUAGCAAGGUUAACCGAAUAGGGGAGCCGGAGGGAAACCGAGUCUUAAUUGGGCGUUAAGUUGCAGGGUAUAGACCCGAAACCCGGUGAUCUAGCCAUGGGCAGGUUGAAGGUUGGGUAACACUAACUGGAGGACCGAACCGACUAAUGUUGAAAAAUUAGCGGAUGACCUGUGGCUGGGGGUGAAAGGCCAAUCAAACCGGGAGAUAGCUGGUUCUCCCCGAAAGCUAUUUAGGUAGCGCCUCGUGAAUUCAUCUCCGGGGGUAGAGCACUGUUUCGGCUAGGGGGCCAUCCCGGCUUACCAACCCGAUGCAAACUGCGAAUACCGGAGAAUGUUAUCACGGGAGACACACGGCGGGUGCUAACGUCCGUCGUGAAGAGGGAAACAACCCAGACCGCCAGCUAAGGUCCCAAAGUCAUGGUUAAGUGGGAAACGAUGUGGGAAGGCCCAGACAGCCAGGAUGUUGGCUUAGAAGCAGCCAUCAUUUAAAGAAAGCGUAAUAGCUCACUGGUCGAGUCGGCCUGCGCGGAAGAUGUAACGGGGCUAAACCAUGCACCGAAGCUGCGGCAGCGACACUGUGUGUUGUUGGGUAGGGGAGCGUUCUGUAAGCCUGCGAAGGUGGCCUGUGAGGGUUGCUGGAGGUAUCAGAAGUGCGAAUGCUGACAUAAGUAACGAUAAAGCGGGUGAAAAGCCCGCUCGCCGGAAGACCAAGGGUUCCUGUCCAACGUUAAUCGGGGCAGGGUGAGUCGACCCCUAAGGCGAGGCCGAAAGGCGUAGUCGAUGGGAAACGGGUUAAUAUUCCCGUACUUGGUGUUACUGCGAAGGGGGGACGGAGAAGGCUAUGUUGGCCGGGCGACGGUUGUCCCGGUUUAAGCGUGUAGGUGUGUGUUCCAGGUAAAUCCGGUUCACUUUAACACUGAGGCGUGACGACGAGGCACUACGGUGCUGAAGCAACAAAUGCCCUGCUUCCAGGAAAAGCCUCUAAGCAUCAGGUAACAUCAAAUCGUACCCCAAACCGACACAGGUGGUCAGGUAGAGAAUACCAAGGCGCUUGAGAGAACUCGGGUGAAGGAACUAGGCAAAAUGGUGCCGUAACUUCGGGAGAAGGCACGCUGACACGUAGGUGAAGUGAUUUACUCAUGGAGCUGAAGUCAGUCGAAGAUACCAGCUGGCUGCAACUGUUUAUUAAAAACACAGCACUGUGCAAACACGAAAGUGGACGUAUACGGUGUGACGCCUGCCCGGUGCCGGAAGGUUAAUUGAUGGGGUCAGCGCAAGCGAAGCUCCUGAUCGAAGCCCCGGUAAACGGCGGCCGUAACUAUAACGGUCCUAAGGUAGCGAAAUUCCUUGUCGGGUAAGUUCCGACCUGCACGAAUGGCGUAAUGAUGGCCAGGCUGUCUCCACCCGAGACUCAGUGAAAUUGAACUCGCUGUGAAGAUGCAGUGUACCCGCGGCAAGACGGAAAGACCCCGUGAACCUUUACUAUAGCUUGACACUGAACAUUGAGCCUUGAUGUGUAGGAUAGGUGGGAGGCUUUGAAGUGUGGACGCCAGUCUGCAUGGAGCCGACCUUGAAAUACCACCCUUUAAUGUUUGAUGUUCUAACGUGGACCCGUUACCCGGGUUGCGGACAGUGUCUGGUGGGUAGUUUGACUGGGGCGGUCUCCUCCUAAAGAGUAACGGAGGAGCACGAAGGUUGGCUAAUCCUGGUCGGACAUCAGGAGGUUAGUGCAAUGGCAUAAGCCAGCUUGACUGCGAGCGUGACGGCGCGAGCAGGUGCGAAAGCAGGUCAUAGUGAUCCGGUGGUUCUGAAUGGAAGGGCCAUCGCUCAACGGAUAAAAGGUACUCCGGGGAUAACAGGCUGAUACCGCCCAAGAGUUCAUAUCGACGGCGGUGUUUGGCACCUCGAUGUCGGCUCAUCACAUCCUGGGGCUGAAGUAGGUCCCAAGGGUAUGGCUGUUCGCCAUUUAAAGUGGUACGCGAGCUGGGUUUAGAACGUCGUGAGACAGUUCGGUCCCUAUCUGCCGUGGGCGCUGGAGAACUGAGGGGGGCUGCUCCUAGUACGAGAGGACCGGAGUGGACGCAUCACUGGUGUUCGGGUUGUCAUGCCAAUGGCACUGCCCGGUAGCUAAAUGCGGAAGAGAUAAGUGCUGAAAGCAUCUAAGCACGAAACUUGCCCCGAGAUGAGUUCUCCCUGAGACUUAAAGUCUCCUGAAGGAACGUUGAAGACGACGACGUUGAUAGGCCGGGUGUGUAAGCGCAGCGAUGCGUUGAGCUAACCGGUACUAAUGAACCGUGAGGCUUAACCUUACAACGCCGAAG
rnacentral:rRNA from 4 species